CCUACGGGGGUCAGCAGUGGGGAAUAUUGCACAAUGGGGGAAACCCUGAUGCAGCAACGCAGCGUGGGUGAAGAAGUAUUUCGGUAUGUAAAGCCCUAUCAGCAGGGAAGAGAAUGACGGUACCUGACUAAGAAGCCCCGGCUAACUACGUGACAGCAGCCGCGGUAAUACGGAGGGUGCGAGCGUUAUUCGGAAUUACUGGGCGUAAAGCGCUCGUAGGCGGUAUGUCAAGUCAAGGGUGAAAUCCCCGCGCUCAACGUGGGAACUGCCUUUGAAACUGGCAAACUGGAGUGUGUGAGAGGAUAGCGGAAUUCCAGGUGUAGGAGUGAAAUCCGUAGAUAUCUGGAGGAACAUCAGUGGCGAAGGCGACUAUCUGGCACAUAACUGACGCUGAGGAGCGAAAGCGUGGGUAGCAAAUAGGAUUAGAUACCCUGGUAGUC
rnacentral:rRNA from 1 species